AUUUACUCCAACCUCUUAAACCCACACGUGCGUGCACGUUCUUCUGAUUUGUAAUGCUAAAGUCCGCUGAAUAUUUAAAGGCAAGCUAAAGACAAACUCUACAUCCGAGAGACCUUUGCAAACUAGCUGUCAUUUGAACGGGAAUUUGCCGAAUUUCUAGAGUUUAGAGAGAUUUUCGCCAUACAGUAUUCAGCGUCUGGUGUAGAAGGCCAAAACCUCACAACAGGAGGCAAGACAGCCAGGGAGAGAAAAAAGACUGCAUUGGAAUUUGACACAUCUCACAGCUGGCCACACUUUCGCCAUAGAGCUUCAUCAAGGUGAGCAAGUGUUGCAUGAAGUGUGUGAAGACAUUGAUGCCCCCUGUCAUUGUGACACGCUGAUGAAUGUGGUGCCUGGCCCAAAUGCAAAGACUGAGAUUGCCUGGACUUUCGGGAAAGGACAAGCACGACAUGUCCAGAUGUCAAUUCCACACCUGAUGGGUGACGUCUUUCCCAUUCAAACCUGACUACUUUCUGAGAAGUAUUGUCUUGGAAGGACUAAAUUAUGCUUGUGAAACAUCUCACAAUACAGUCUUUCUUGAAAUGCAGUCAUUAUUCUGUGCUGAAAGUUAACUUCUGUUAAAAUGUGUAGUGAAUUAGAAAAGGGGCUGUGAAUACCACUUGCUUUUACAAUCGGAUGCAGAAGGAAUUCUUUUUUAAGGAAACUGUCAUUCUAAUGUGAUGUAGUAUUUACCAUUUUAUAAAACAAUACAAAAUAAUGAUCCACUGAUCAUAUUUAAUCAUGUGUCUUUCUUUACAAAUUUCAAUUUUUUAAUUGCAUGGCUUUAUUAUAGUGAAACUAAAGUUAAUGUGACGAAGUUUGGUUGUAAAAACAAGAUUUAUCAAGAUCUGAUGGCAGCUUCUCAAACUUUCUACAUAUACAGUAUAUAACAUAUGUAUAACAACUGUAAUGCCUUUAUUUAGAAACUAAAAUAGAUCUGGAAUUCCCUCUAAAAUCUGAAAUCUACUAGACUUUAUUCUUGUGAUAAUCUAAAACAUUAAUACAUCAAAGCAGGUAUUGUUAAAAAGAUUAAUAUUUAUCCAUUUGGAAUCUAUUAAAGCUUAUAUUAUUUUCUCAAGACUUAUCUCACUAAUUGGUUUCGUGCUUAUUUAGGUUGUUUUCGUUUUCUAUAAUUAAACAUAUUCAUCUUAAAACAAUUAAAAUGAUUACAAUGUUUGAUCUUGAUAUUAAUUCAUUCUAUA